rnacentral:lncRNA from 1 species
GUGGGAGAAGCUUGGUUCCCUCUCCACCUGAGAGAGAAGUGUAGUUAGAAGGGGAUUCUUGAGAAUGUUAGUCGAGUUUUUGAUCCUUCAGGCUUUUGAAUAUAGGAGAAAGACCUGGAUCAAGGGGAACCUUAGAAUUCUUUCCUAGAGGUCAUGUGGAUAUGAAAGGUCAAGUAGGGGUCAUCUAGGAAGUCUGAGAGAGACGGGAGAGGGGGGUGGUGGGGACGACAGGAGAUAGGGAAGCAACAAAAAGACACAUGCGGCAGGGGUCCCUCAAUCUGAAUUCUGAGAGCCAUGAAGAACUGAAUGUAAAGAAAUGCUGAGUCUCUUCCCUGCUUUUGGCAAAAGCUAGUGUGCCAUUCAGAGGCCUUCUUUUUUUAGGGGUGUCCCCCAGUUUGUAUUGGGGCCAGGCCUUCUGCAGAGUCAAAAUUUUUUCCAGUUUCUGAGAAUGUAUCCAAGGGGUGAGUCUGAGAGAGGCUCCUGAGACGUACCAAAACCCAUCCUUAGCCUAUAUGCCAUAGGAUGGGGUUACUGAGAGUCACUGACUGGCAAAAAGGUGUCCCUUUUUGUCUCAGUGACGUCUCCGUGCAACUAACGGCAUAAAAAUGGCCAACCAUCCCAACAGUCACAUCCAACAGUGAGAGGUGACCUCUGAGAACCGUGCAGUUAAGGCACCAUGUGACCCGGGCAGAGAAAGACAGAGAUUCCUGGGAGCAACCAGGUGAUUCACUAUUUGGGGAUUCCCUGAAAUGUGGAAGGCACUCUUGGGAUGGCUCAGAGGCAACACCCAGGCUCCUGUAAAUCAAUCUGGACAAAAAGAGAAAGAAGUGAAAGUGACAGGGAAGAAGGCUGAGGAAUCCACCUUACAAUAUAUCCGGGAGGCGGUGGCCUGGGAACAACGGUCUCUGUUUUGCUUCAACCACUAUGUGCCUAACAUGGUGGACAGAAGUUGUCUUGCUGCGGGCUGAUGUCCUUGUGUCCUGAUUCAUUCUGUAUGCCCCCUAUCCUCACAUGGGAGUC